CCACAUACUAGUCCGUAUAUGACUGCAGUGUAGUGUUAAUUGUGUUCUAUGAACAUCUUCAAGUUAAGUGUUGAAGUUCGUCAGACUAUGUUUGAAUAGUGUGUAAAUUCCCCCUUUUUUUGUUUAGUUUGUUUUGGUGAAUUGACAGUUUACUUAGGGUACAUUGUUCAUUCUAUAUGGCUAGGUUUUUUUUUUUGUUUUUUUCCUACUUUUAUUUUCACCUGGAUGGGAAUUAAACCACCAGAGGUCUUAAACUUUGUAGCUGAAUUUUAAC